UGUAAUUGAAUUCUUGCAUUGGUUUCAGCCCAAGAGAAAUAUAAAUCACCGACCCAAAAUAUAAAUACUCAACCUAGUUAUCUUCAUCUUUUUUCAUCACAAUUCCCAACCUUUUGGAGAGAGAUGAUCUUCCCUCUCUCUAAACCUGUCGCAGUCUCUGCCUUUGCCCGCCACGCCUCCUCCUCCUGCGAUCCUUCUCUCUCAAUAUCUUCUUUCUCUCAACCUCUCUAGUUAUCUCUCUCUUUCGGAUAUAUAUCUCUCUCGGCUUCUACCUCCAUUCCCAUUCCCCAGCUAACGCUGCUGCCUGCACUCGCCGGUCGUCGUCAGCCACAGCAUCGUCUGCCUCUUCGUCGUCCCCGCAAACUCGACCCUCACCUCAACACCGUCAGUCAUUCCGCCGUUGCUGCGGGCGGUGGUGGCCGCUGCUGCAUACGGUGGUUGACUACAGCCACUGCCCCACCUAAACAUGCCAUCGUCGACGUCUUCUUCGCUGCUCCACCGGGCGCUCACCCACCCGCCUGCCUCGCCGCAUUGCUCUACCUAUGUGCACAUUAAAAGACCAUAGCCAUUUCUCGCAGUUGGAUCUCCCUCUCUACAACUUAAGCUUUUGUAGCAAUGGUGCAUUUUUUUUAUAGAUAAUGCUCCGAAACUUCUCUUCUAAGCUAAAUUUUUUGGACGACCACUUUUUUUUUGGGAAGACCACUUUAGCUUUGCACAAAUGCAGUCAAUUCAUUUCUCUAUGUAUUUUUCUUCUCACAUUUUUCUACCACUUUCUAUUUUCCCUCCAAAAGGGGUAUUAAUGUCUUUUCACCACACUAGCACUUUAAAUUAGUAUAGAAUCAUUAGCCCAAUUUAAUCAAAUACACUCCCUCCCCAUCGGACUCUCUCUCCCAUUCUUAUUCUCAAAUCUGAAAAUGAAAUCCCUAAUCUUUGGAAUCAGCGGCGGGUUUCCUCACGGCUUCUCCGGAGAAAUCGCUGUCAUCCCUCCCCUCUCCGGCGAACUCACGCUCGGAAUGGCUUCUCUUCCUUCUGUCAAAAUCAAAGGUGGAGAGGAGGCGUCGCCUCUCUUCCACGGCGUCGCUGCCUGGUGAGCAGUCGUCUCUGACGGGCGCGUGCACUCUCUCCGGUGACACGCGGCUUCCCCGCCGUCGCAGCUGGGGCCCUGUAUCAGCUCUCUCUCUCUCCGGAGUGCAGCAGCUCCGGCCCAUUCUUGGCCUCCCUUUGACGGCGCCGACGCCAGCCUUCUCCCGCUGCUACUCCGACCGCGUCGCUUCUUCAAGCGAUCAAGCUAAGUCCCCUCCCUUUAUUCCCUUAAUUUCCGUUAAUUAUUUCGUAAAUUUUUGGAGUUCCCUAUUGGUGAUCCUUUUUGCUUGAAACUUGAGUACUCAAAGUUGGGGUUCAUACUGCUCAAUUCUAGUAGUGGAUAUUGCUGUAUUCGAAAAUUUCGGGUGCUCUUGCUCCCUGGAAUGAGCUUCUAAUUGUUGUGAUCGGGCUAGCCGUCGGCAUAAAAAGAUCACAUCUUGGCUAUUGAUGAGGCUUUCUAUGUUAUGAUUCUAAGUCCUUGAGCAUUUAUCCUACUACUGAUCUUGGAGAAAAAAAACACUUGUCUCACUAAGUCCUUGGACUAUCCUGUGGCUGUUCUAAUCGUGAUGCAAGAGUUGGUUUCGUGGGAUUACCUUAGUUCGGUGAACUUGGAUUUGCCCUCUUACUGCCACUGCCUCACGCUGCCUGUUCCUCCCUCCGUCGCACUCCACGCCUGAGAGUCUUGUGGCCGAAAGAGUGUGUGGAGGGAAGGGUGAUGGCUGCAUUUAUAGGCCAAAUUCUUUGGCUUCUUGUGGCAGAAUUUUGGGCAUUGGUGUUCCUAUUUUUGGCUACAAGUUUAGCUCCCUUUUGAGCUUUAUAACUGUGCUAUCUAUGCCUUCUUGGUGUAACUUGUGGGGCUGUUUGUAGGCUGACUUUCCAGCCUUGGAUUUGUGGGGAUUUGCCUUGCUCCUUUUGAGCUUAGGUGGUGAUCUCAUCUUGAGGUUUCUAUUGCCUCUUUUCCCAUAAUGGAAGAUUUGGAGGAUCUCGAUUCUUUUUCCCACUUUAAAAUUUGGCAGGGGUUGUUUGAUGGGGACAUAGCAUAUUUGGCAUUCUUACUAGAUUGAUGAAAAUAAUACUUAAUUUAUUCCAAAGUCGGAAAUUACAAUGAAAAUUCUACGCCUUCUAAACGUGAAUUAAUUAAGCUAAUAAAUUCGAUUUAUCUUGAAAGAAAGGAACGAAAUUCCUGGGCGUUACAUUAUCAUUGGCUGUGUCAUAUGCAAUAACCAUUAACAAAAUUCAAGGUCAAUCUCUAUCCCAUGUUAGAUUAUUUUUGAAAAAACCGAUCUUCAGUCAUGGACAACUUUAUGUUGCUAUAUCUAGAGUCACAAGUCGUGAAGGUUUGAAGAUUUUAGUUUCCGGGGAUGAAAAUGACAGUAGAAGUGAUUCUACUCUUAAUGUUGUUUACAAAGAAGUCUUUCAAAUUGUAUGAAUUACUUUCAAAUUGUAUGAAUUACUGGUCUCAAAGAGAUGUUUGUAACGAUUUUGUUGAGAAGAUGUUUGAAUUCUAUGUUUUGUUGAUCGAAAUUAUAAUGAACUAUUUAUUUUUUUCAAAUAAUUUUAUUUAUUUACUUUGGUAUUUAGUAUUUCUCAAUCUUUUAUUUGUAUAUCCUAUAUAAUUUCUAUUUCUUUCCCCCAUAUACUUUCAUUCCAGUGGAUUGAUAGAUUGAUAGAUGUAGAAAUAGAAGUAUGUUUCUUAAAUCUUUAUAAUUUUAUAAAUACAAUAUUUAAAUAGUUUCUAUUCUUGAUUUGCAAUAAUUUUUUACAUUUUUUUAUAUAUUCUUUAUUUUGAUUUAAUUCAUUUUAAAUAUAUUUUCUUAUUUUUUGAAAAUCAUUUGGUCUGUGUAUAUACGAUUUCAGAUACUUGGUAUCGGGUAUAUCCGAUUAAUGCUUGGUAUCUGGUGCGUGUAAAAUCUGCCGGACCUAGGAAAUGCAUAUAAUUUACCAGGGGCAGAGAAAAGGAGGAAAAUGAAGUGAAAAUGCCAACAAUUCACCAGACCAAGGUGAUGAAAAUGAAUGCUGGCAGAAUACAAAAAUGGAGCAAGAAGCAAAUAUAAAGAUGAAGGGCAAAAAAUACAAAAUAUGAAGAGAGAAUCCCCUAGGGAUUGCUUCCUAUAUAAAGGGAUGACUCCUUUUAGAACGAGAGCUCUUUCAACCUCCCUUUUUAGCAUUUUACACUUAGUCCCCUUAGCUCCAUACUCAAAUCAUAGUUCACUUCACCUCACACGCACUUGGCACUUAUGGGGUGACUUCAGGCUACUGCGGUGGUUCUUAGCUAGUUUCUGUGGUGUAACACCGUCCUUGCGAGGGCGAAGAUACAAUUUGCUUUAAAUUUCCGUUGUUUAUUCUAGCCGAGAACUUCAUUGCUGGAAGCUCGGCGAUUGUUUUGUGUUUAGGAUAUUAUUCUCGUGGCUAUGACAAUGUCUACUUUUUGUUUUA